UCCCUGGUGGCGCAGAGGAUAAAGCGUCUGCUUGCAAAGCAGGAGACCCGGGUUCGGUCCCUGGGUUGGGAA
rnacentral:tRNA from 1 species